UAGCUCAAUGGUAGAGUGUUUGCCUAGCAUGCAUAAGGCCCUGGGUUCAAUCCCCAG
rnacentral:tRNA from 1 species